rnacentral:rRNA from 1 species
CGGCGGUAAUUCCAGCUCCAAUAGCGUAUAUUAAAGUUGUUGCAGUUAAAAAGCUCGUAGUUGGAUGUCUGCUGGAAGCAAUCAGUCCGCCCUAUUUGUAGGGUGUGCACUUGAUGAAUUCUGGCAUUUUUGUCCCAAUGAUGUAACGGAAAAGAAUGCUGUUGGGCGAAAGUUCAAUAGCGUCUUUUCCGAUUAUUGGGAUACUGUUACUUUGAGAAAAUUAGAGUGUUUGAAGCAGGCUAAUUGCCUUGAAUACUGCAGCAUGGAAUAACAAUAUAGGAUUUCGGUUCUAUUUUGUUGGUUUCUAGGACUGAAAUAAUGAUUAAUAGGGACAGUUGGGGGCAUUCGUAUUUAACUGUCAGAGGU